rnacentral:rRNA from 1 species
AUUGAACGCUGGCGGCAUGCCUUACACAUGCAAGUCGAACGGUAACAGGUCUUCGGAUGCUGACGAGUGGCGAACGGGUGAGUAAUACAUCGGAACGUGCCCGAUCGUGGGGGCCAACGAGGCGAAAGCUUUGCUAAUACCGCAUACGAUCUACGGAUGAAAGCGGGGGAUCUUCGGACCUCGCGCGGACGGAGCGGCCGAUGGCAGAUUAGGUAGUUGGUGGGAUAAAAGCUUACCAAGCCGACGAUCUGUAGCUGGUCUGAGAGGAUGAUCAGCCACACUGGGACUGAGACACGGCCCAGACUCCUACGGGAGGCAGCAGUGGGGAAUUUUGGACAAUGGGCGAAAGCCUGAUCCAGCCAUGCCGCGUGCAGGAUGAAGGCCUUCGGGUUGUAAACUGCUUUUGUACGGAACGAAAAGCCUCUUUCUAAUAAAGAGAGGUCAUGACGGUACCGGAAGAAUAAGCACCGGCUAACUACGUG